rnacentral:rRNA from 1 species
GGGUUGUGAGGUUAAGCGACUAAGCGUACACGGUGGAUGCCCUGGCAGUCAGAGGCGAUGAAGGGCGUGCUAAUCUGCGAUAAGCGCCGGUAAGGUGAUAUGAACCGUUAUAACCGGCGAUACCCGAAUGGGGAAACCCAGUGUGAUUCGUCACACUAUCAUUAACUGAAUCCAUAGGUUAAUGAGGCGAACCGGGGGAACUGAAACAUCUAAGUACCCCGAGGAAAAGAAAUCAACCGAGAUUCCCCCAGUAGCGGCGAGCGAACGGGGAGGAGCCCAGAGCCUGAAUCAGCAUGUGUGUUAGUGGAAGCGUCUGGAAAGGCGCGCGAUACAGGGUGACAGCCCCGUACACAAAAGCGCAUGUGCUGUGAGCUCGAUGAGUAGGGCGGGACACGUGGUAUCCUGUCUGAAUAUGGGGGGACCAUCCUCCAAGGCUAAAUACUCCUGACUGACCGAUAGUGAACCAGUACCGUGAGGGAAAGGCGAAAAGAACCCCGGCGAGGGGAGUGAAAAAGAACCUGAAACCGUGUACGUACAAGCAGUGGGAGCNNUGACUGCGUACCUUUUGUAUAAUGGGUCAGCGACUUAUAUUCUGUAGCAAGGUUAACCGAAUAGGGGAGCCGGAGGGAAACCGAGUCUUAAUUGGGCGUUAAGUUGCAGGGUAUAGACCCGAAACCCGGUGAUCUAGCCAUGGGCAGGUUGAAGGUUGGGUAACACUAACUGGAGGACCGAACCGACUAAUGUUGAAAAAUUAGCGGAUGACCUGUGGCUGGGGGUGAAAGGCCAAUCAAACCGGGAGAUAGCUGGUUCUCCCCGAAAGCUAUUUAGGUAGCGCCUCGUGAAUUCAUCUCCGGGGGUAGAGCACUGUUUCGGCUAGGGGGCCAUCCCGGCUUACCAACCCGAUGCAAACUGCGAAUACCGGAGAAUGUUAUCACGGGAGACACACGGCGGGUGCUAACGUCCGUCGUGAAGAGGGAAACAACCCAGACCGCCAGCUAAGGUCCCAAAGUCAUGGUUAAGUGGGAAACGAUGUGGGAAGGCCCAGACAGCCAGGAUGUUGGCUUAGAAGCAGCCAUCAUUUAAAGAAAGCGUAAUAGCUCACUGGUCGAGUCGGCCUGCGCGGAAGAUGUAACGGGGCUAAACCAUGCACCGAAGCUGCGGCAGCGANNGUUGGGUAGGGGAGCGUUCUGUAAGCCUGUGAAGGUGUGUCGUGAGGCAUGCUGGAGGUAUCAGAAGUGCGAAUGCUGACAUAAGUAACGAUAAAGCGGGUGAAAAGCCCGCUCGCCGGAAGACCAAGGGUUCCUGUCCAACGUUAAUCGGGGCAGGGUGAGUCGACCCCUAAGGCGAGGCCGAAAGGCGUAGUCGAUGGGAAACGGGUUAAUAUUCCCGUACUUGGUGUUACUGCGAAGGGGGGACGGAGAAGGCUAUGUUGGCCGGGCGACGGUUGUCCCGGUUUAAGCGUGUAGGUGUGUGUUCCAGGUAAAUCCGGUUCACUUUAACACUGAGGCGUGAUGACGAGGCACUACGGUGCUGAAGUAACAAAUGCCCUGCUUCCAGGAAAAGCCUCUAAGCAUCAGGUAACAUCAAAUCGUACCCCAAACCGACACAGGUGGUCAGGUAGAGAAUACCAAGGCGCUUGAGAGAACUCGGGUGAAGGAACUAGGCAAAAUGGUGCCGUAACUUCGGGAGAAGGCACGCUGACACGUAGGUGAAGUGAUUUACUCAUGGAGCUGAAGUCAGUCGAAGAUACCAGCUGGCUGCAACUGUUUAUUAAAAACACAGCACUGUGCAAACACGAAAGUGGACGUAUACGGUGUGACGCCUGCCCGGUGCCGGAAGGUUAAUUGAUGGGGUCAGCGCAAGCGAAGCUCCUGAUCGAAGCCCCGGUAAACGGCGGCCGUAACUAUAACGGUCCUAAGGUAGCGAAAUUCCUUGUCGGGUAAGUUCCGACCUGCACGAAUGGCGUAAUGAUGGCCAGGCUGUCUCCACCCGAGACUCAGUGAAAUUGAACUCGCUGUGAAGAUGCAGUGUACCCGCGGCAAGACGGAAAGACCCCGUGAACCUUUACUAUAGCUUGACACUGAACAUUGAGCCUUGAUGUGUAGGAUAGGUGGGAGGCUUUGAAGUGUGGACGCCAGUCUGCAUGGAGCCGACCUUGAAAUACCACCCUUUAAUGUUUGAUGUUCUAACGUGGACCCGUGAUCCGGGUUGCGGACAGUGUCUGGUGGGUAGUUUGACUGGGGCGGUCUCCUCCUAAAGAGUAACGGAGGAGCACGAAGGUUGGCUAAUCCUGGUCGGACAUCAGGAGGUUAGUGCAAUGGCAUAAGCCAGCUUGACUGCGAGCGUGACGGCGCGAGCAGGUGCGAAAGCAGGUCAUAGUGAUCCGGUGGUUCUGAAUGGAAGGGCCAUCGCUCAACGGAUAAAAGGUACUCCGGGGAUAACAGGCUGAUACCGCCCAAGAGUUCAUAUCGACGGCGGUGUUUGGCACCUCGAUGUCGGCUCAUCACAUCCUGGGGCUGAAGUAGGUCCCAAGGGUAUGGCUGUUCGCCAUUUAAAGUGGUACGCGAGCUGGGUUUAGAACGUCGUGAGACAGUUCGGUCCCUAUCUGCCGUGGGCGCUGGAGAACUGAGGGGGGCUGCUCCUAGUACGAGAGGACCGGAGUGGACGCAUCACUGGUGUUCGGGUUGUCAUGCCAAUGGCACUGCCCGGUAGCUAAAUGCGGAAGAGAUAAGUGCUGAAAGCAUCUAAGCACGAAACUUGCCCCGAGAUGAGUUCUCCCUGAGACUUAAAGUCUCCUGAAGGAACGUUGAAGACGACGACGUUGAUAGGCCGGGUGUGUAAGCGCAGCGAUGCGUUGAGCUAACCGGUACUAAUGAACCGUGAGGCUUAACCUUACAACGCCGAAG